UUGUCACUCUUUGCUGUGCUCGACAUCGUCACUGAACAGACAUCGUGCCGUGGUUUCGUGUAAAUAUAAUCGUGUAUGUCUGACUUUCCAUUACAGGUGUAGCAAAAAAUAGAGUUCGAUACACGCGCGAAAGUUGGCAAUGCCUAUCUCGCGUGAAUGCGCCACACUCGCCCUUCAACUCGUCUACGGGUUCGUGCUGCGCCUUCACGCUUGUGCGGGCAUUGCCACCUUCGCGCACUAGUAUCGAAAAACAUUAUUUCCCACAUGUUUAUUUGGACCGACUUACGGUUACCGAACGUAAAAAAAUCGAUUAAAGGAUUACGAAACAAAAACAACUGAAGACCGAAAGUAGAAACAACAUACGUAAGAUUGAAUUAUUAAAAAAGGCAGUAAAUUGAAAGUGUAGGAAGAAAUGCUUAACGCAUCAAGCUAUCCCGCAGUCGACGAACAAAGAGGCUGCGAGGGUCGCGGAGAGAAGCUUGAAGCCUCGGCUUAAACUUCCCCACCGUCAGAGUGGCCCCCAGAGAUUUGGCAAUGCCGUUCGUUAGCCUCACGGACGGUUGCGCUGUUGCCAAGUCGCCGAAGUAGAGGAGGGGCCAUGGCUACGGGAAGGCACUCGCAUCUAUUAUGGUACAUCUCUCUUUAAACAGCACUUUUGUACUUCCCCUUUCCAAGACUACAUUUCGUCUUUUUUUUUCUUUUUUUUUCUCUUUUACCUGUAAUACUCAAUGAACUUUCAAUAAUUUUCUAUUCCGAAGUCGACGUAUUUCGGGUAAAUACUUAAAAGCCUCUCAGAAGACCAUGUAUAUGUUUAUCAUUAAGUAACGGGUGUUUACGAGUAAUCGACCGAUAAAGAUUUUGAUGAACUUGUUGAGGAGAAAAUAACAAAAUUUUAAAACCCACGUAUUCUUCGCGAGAUAUUCCAAAUGACGAGAAAGAUUGAUCUAUGGACGUGUUUCUAUAUGAAUAAUUGUACCUGAUCCACAGUAUAACAGACCCUAGCGUGGGCGCCAUCGUUAUUAGAAAUCCAUCUGACGCCUCCGCACUAAACGGGACAUGAGGGGUCAGGUAAAUCGACACUUAUAUCUACACCUACACGUUACAUGUAUACUUGAUAAAGCCUUUCUGCUGUAGAAUGAAAAGAACCGGAAAAGCAGGCUCGCAUAACCUCGGCAGUAUAUUCAAUGUUCUCUAAUGAUUUUUUUUUUACGCGAUAUAAUUUCAUAAAAAUAUGGAUUGUUCAGCGACUCGUUUUUAGCGAGGUAUCCGCACACCUCUACGCAUACGUGCGUAAUAAUGCCUACUAAUAAAAGUCAGAAUACACCGAAGGCCAGUGUCGUCUCACGGAAGAAACGAUGCGAACAUAUAAAGCAGUUGUUUCAGUGACGUCUAUUGUAUGUAUAACAUAGCUAGAUAAAAUAUUUCGACCUACACAUAUACCAGGUUGUUGAAACUAACAAUUUGAAAAUGUUCUUGACACAAUCAACACUAUGCAGGUUUAUAACAGUAAUAUAUAAGCAAGGCCACAAGUGAGAAGGAGAAAUAAACAGUAAUGAGACAUUAA